CUUACAUUUACAAAAUAAACACAUGUAAACAUAAAUUGGCCAUUUUAUACCUGUACUGAGUAAAUAAAACUUUGAUGGCUAUACCUUAAUGCACUACUGUUAAGUCCAACAUCAUGCUGUCUGUAGAAACCAAAAAUGCGUUCCUUACUCAAGAUUACUUUUAGCAUCAUGCAAAUUCUCUUCUGGAGUUGAACUUUCCGCGGAAGACGUGUUUGAGGCAAAUAACGCGCGUUUGCGGCAAAAAAGCCAAUUUGGGUCAUUCGCAUUGCCCCGCGCGAAUUUGCAUCUUUACAUUGAUGUUGUAUCAUGUAAUCUACUCGCGCAAAUAAUUAAUCCACACCACAGAAUUAAAAGACAGUAAUGCUGCUUUUAUUUGUUGUCGGAUUUUUCUGCUCGUGAUCACCAUGUGACUGCGCGAAUGAAAUCUGACACCAGCAUUGCAAGCAGUUAAAGCAGCUAGUGCAUAGUGACUGGAUAUCAACUCGCUGGAAGGCGUUUAAGUUUUAUAUCCCAGCGCGCAGAUCAUGCGGGCACGCAACACACUAACUGAAGUACAGGGAAUAUAAAACGGACAGAUUUGAAUGGAUAAACCGAAAAACCGCAAAUCACAUGCGUGAAUUGAACCGUGGGGGUCCAACCGACCGGUUCAAUAUUGUAUUGAGAAUUGUGGCAUCCCUAGUACGUGUUUAUUGUACUUAUGUUUAUUUUUCUGUACAGCACUUUGGACAACUUUGGUUGUUGUAUAGUGCUUAACAAAUAAAGUUGGUAUGGUAAGUUUAGCUGUUUAAAAAAAAAAGACCGUUGCAAUUUAAAUAAUAAGCUACAAAAACCAAUGCAAAAGACAAAUCAAAAACCUCUGUGUUCAGCGAAUCAUUUUCACGGCAAUAAUUAUUUAAGCCAAUCAGAAUUGACACCUCUGCUACGUUGGUGGCGCACGCAGGAAGAAGCACGCGACAUGAUGAAGACGGCGGCGCGCUGGUGAACUACUCUGCUGUUUUCGACGAAGCAACACUUGUGAGAGUUUUUUGAUUCAAUACCAGGAAUUGGAACAAUAGCUAUCUGGAACUUCUGGAACUGAGAUCAGUCAGAAGCCUUCAAGCUCAAACAUUAAUGAUGGAUGAUGUAGACAGUGGUCUUUCUGACUUCAUUUACUCUGUGCUGCCAAAUUCAAGUUCAAAUGACCUGCUGUUAGAGGCUCUUCAGACCCUGGGUGUGGAAACCGUUGAAGAUUUAAAAUAUGUCCAGGAGGCAGAUCUUGUUAAUACCCUCAGGCCAAUUGAAGCUCGAAAAUUGAUUGCGACAUUUAAAGCUUUCUCUGAAAAGGAUGCCAAAGAGAUUCCUCAUCUGCCUACCAGAGCUGAGCCAGAAAGAUUGUUAAGC